AGUGAACGCUGGCGGCGUGCUUAAUACAUGCAAGUCGAACGAUGAAGUCCUAGCUUGCUAGGAUGGAUUAGUGGCGCACGGGUGAGUAAUAUAUAGUUAAUCUGCCUUGCACUGAGGAACAACAGUUGGAAACGAUUGCUAAUACCUCAUACUCCAACUUUACAUAAGUUAAGUUGGGAAAGUCUUUUCGGUGCAAGAUGAGACUAUAUCGUAUCAGCUAGUUGGUAAGGUAAUGGCUUACCAAGGCUAUGACGCGUAACUGGUCUGAGAGGAUGAUCAGUCACAUUGGAACUGAGACACGGUCCAAACUCCUACGGGAGGCAGCAGUAAGGAAUAUUGGGCAAUGGGGGAAACCCUGACGCAGCAACGCCGCGUGGAGGAGGACACUUUUCGGAGCGUAAACUCCUUUUGUUAGGGAAGAAUAAUGACGGUACCUAACGAAUAAGCACCGGCUAACUCCGUG
rnacentral:rRNA from 1 species